GAUUCCAUGGUUCUGUGACUCCAGAAUCUCUGCUCUCCAGCCCAAGCCACCCCAGCACAGGAACCCUCUGCUCCCAGGUUUAUCCUCCCCAGGGGCCCACCAGGAUUCACUCCCAGGCAGGAGCUUCAUUCCUGUUGUUCCCACCAGGAGAAGGCAGGGAAGGUUGUGGGGAAACCCUUCCCACGUCCUCCAAGGUGUUCUUGUCCCUGUUUUAGGUCUGUGCAAGGGGUGGAGAAGCAUCUCCUCUGCUUUUCCCUCCUCUCCAUGGCUUCAGAGAUGCUCCCUGAGCCUGCAAAUAUUUGGAAUUUCAAGCCUCUUCCUGCUGGAGGCACAUCUGGACCUCAAAUGUGGAUCCCCAGCUUUCUCUCUGCCUGUUUUAUUCGUGUUCCCAACCCGGCAGAAUGUGAUCUCCUGGAGUCCCCUGAAUUUCUUAGAAGACAGAAGCCCAGGGAGGAUUCCCCAAAGCAGAAUGCAAGGCUGAAGAAAUGAAAGAAUAAUUUAGAGCCUUAGAAAGUGGAUCAUUUAUAAUUUUUUUUCUCCCUUAAUAUUGCAAAAUUCAUAAAAUCAAUGAUUCAUGGGAAUAUUUGCCUGGCCAUCGAGGCAGCUUUGUAACAGGGUAAAUAAUUGAGAUGCUUUUAUUACAUUAUUUAUUGGAAAAUUCACAGCGUAAAUAAUUCAAAAUCAGCUAAUUAUGUGGAAACUGAGGGCUAAAGGGGGGCAACACAGUCCAUUAGUUACGGCCA
rnacentral:lncRNA from 1 species